CAGCCCUAAACGAUGCGCGUUAGGUGUAUCGGUGACCACGAGUCACCGAGGUGCCGAAGGGAAACCGUGAAACGUGCCGCCUGGGAAGUACGGUCGCAAGGCUGAAACUUAAAGGGAAUUGGCGGGGGAGCACCACAACGGGUGGAGCCUGCGGUUUAAUUGGACUCAACGCCGGGAAGCUCACCGGAUAAGACAGCGGAAUGAUUGCCGGGCUGAAGACCCUGCAUGACCAGCUGAGAGGUGGUGCAUGGCGUCAGUGACU
rnacentral:rRNA from 1 species